rnacentral:pre_miRNA from 1 species
AAUAAGUGCAGCCGUGGAUAUCCGUGUCCAACGUUUGACUGUCCGUCUUAUUUGAAAAAUUUAUGAAAAAAUUUAAAAAAUUUAGUCAUACAUAAAGCAUUAUUCAUGUUUUAUCAUCUAAUAGCAAUAAAAAUACUAAUCAUAAAAAAAUUCAAAUAAGACGAAUGGUCAAACGUUGAACGUGAAUAGUGUAAAACUACACUUAUU